CCCUUAGAUGUUCUGGGCCGCACGCGUGCUACACUGAGUGGAUCAGCGGGUCAGGUUGCGCGAAAGCGUUUCCUAAUCUUUAAAUCCGCUCGUGAUGGGGAUUGACGGUUGCAAUUUUCUGUCAUGAACGAGGAAUACCUUGUAAGCGCGGGUCAUCAUCCCGCGCUGAAUACGUCCCUGCCCUUUGUACACACCCCCCGUCGCUCCUACCGAUUGAGUGGUCCGGUGAGGCUUUGGGAUCUGAGCGGAAAGAGCGUUUCGCUGUUUCUGCUCGGAAAACUCAGUCGAACCUUAUCAUUUAGAGGAAGGAGAAGUCGUAACA
rnacentral:rRNA from 1 species